CUUUUACCUCUAAUAAACAUGCUUGCUUAGAAGAAGCUGUGUGGUAACUUGUAACUGCAGGCAAUGCACUGUUCAUAGCCCUCAAAUAGAAAGCAACACACAGGCACUGGCUGUUAGGCAGACUGGCUUGCUGGGGAUAUCACAACAUAAAAGACAAGCAC